CGGGCAGGUAAGUCAGUGGUGAAAUCCUGGAGCUCAACUCCAGAACUGCCAUUGAUACUAUCUGUCUUGAAUAUUGUGGAGGUAAGCGGAAUAUGUCAUGUAGCGGUGAAAUGCUUAGAUAUGACAUAGAACACCCAUUGCGAAGGCAGCUUACUACGCAUAUAUUGACGCUGAGGCACGAAAGCGUGGGGAUCAAACAGGAUUAGGUACCCUGGUAGUCCACGCCCUAAACGAUGGAUACUCGACAUACGCGAUACACUGUGUGUGUCUGAGCGAAAGCAUUAAGUAUCCCACCUGGGAAGUACGUUCGCAAGAAUGAAACUCAAAGGAAUUGGCGGGGGUCCGCACAAGCGGUGGAGUAUGUGGUUUAAUUCGAUGAUACGCGAGGAACCUUACCUGGGCUAGAAUGCUGGGAGAUCGCUAGUGAAAGCUAGUUUUGUAGCAAUACACUGCCAGCAAGGUGCUGCAUGGCCGUCGUCAGCUCGUGCCGUGAGGUGUUGGGUUAAGUCCCGCAACGAGCGCAACCCCUAUCUUUAGUUGCCAACAGGUAAUGCUGGGAACUCUAAAGAAACUGCCGCCGUAAGGUGUGAGGAAGGAGGGGAUGAUGUCAGGUCAUCAUGGCCUUUAUGCCCAGGGCUACACACGUACUACAAUGGGGAAGACAAAGGGCUGCAACAUAGCGAUAUGAAGCCAAUCCCAAAAACUUCCUCUCAGUUCAGAUUGCAGGCUGCAACUCGCCUGCAUGAAGCUGGAAUCGCUAGUAAUCGU
rnacentral:rRNA from 1 species